CAGCAGCCACGGGAAUACAGAGGGUGCAAGCGUUAAUCGGAAUUACUGGGCGUAAAGCGAGCGUAGGUGGCUUGAUAAGUCAGAUGUGAAAUCCCCGGGCUUAACCUGGGAACUGCAUCUGAUACUGUUAGGCUAGAGUAGGUGAGAGGAAGGUAGAAUUCCAGGUGUAGCGGUGAAAUGCGUAGAGAUCUGGAGGAAUACCGAUGGCGAAGGCAGCCUUCUGGCAUCAUACUGACACUGAGGCUCGAAAGCGUGGGUAGCAAACAGGAUUAGAUACCCCAGUAGUCCCUGUCUCUUAUAC
rnacentral:rRNA from 1 species